ACCUUCUGAUUGCAGGGUGUGACCGGCAGGUGUGUUCUUUCAACUGGAGCUCAUCAAACCCAAUCAGGAGAAGUGGAUUCCCUGAGGGAAAAUCCCAGAUGGUUUUACUCUCACAAGCAGUAAUCAGUCAGGAUCUCCCCACAACAAUCCGCCGUUACUCACCUACGCUUGACCAGCUCAUGACACUUCUCCUGGAACAAAGAAGCAGGACAUUUCUAACCAAGCAGCACUCCAACAAUGACAUCAAACUGCAUGCCAGAGCUGAGUGAGACAUCAAAUGACUGAUCCCCCUCAUCAAGACAGCUUCAAAAACUGUGGUUUAUGCUGGCACAAAUCUACAUACCAGAUGAGCAAGGGAAAAUGGCUUCAUCUCUACAAUUACAAGAAGGUCACGACCUGCUGUCACGGCAACCGCUUGGCAUCUAUUUGGAAGCUGCUUGGCACCCGAAACCUGGAGAUUUCAUAAACCUGCAAUUAGGCAGUGGGCAUGUAUCAGUCAGCACACUCUGCGAAACAUCUGCUUGUGUGUGUAUGUUUGUCCAUCUCCAAUGUGUGUGUUUGCCGGGAGGCAAAAUUCUAAUUCACGAGAAAAAAUUAGCUCAAAACUGAGGAAGCAGCGAGUCUGAUUGGAAAUCUGCUUCAUGUAUGCAAAGUUGAUCAUCAUAAAAGUAGAUUGUUUUAAAUCUUUCAUCUAACAAUUGGAAUACUUACUGAUCUUUUAGUUUUCUCAACAAAAAUGCAUGUUUUAUUUGAUAACACAAGAUAUGGUUUUGGUGCACCCGAUGGGACUCAAAAAGAUGCACUUCUGCAUCUUUUUGAUAUAUGCAGACAGACAGAAAAUAUGUAUAUACGUGUGUGAUACAACUCAGUGGCACACAAAAGAAGCUGGAAAGCUCACACAUCAGAAUAAACACAUACGUGGUGGUUGAACAAAAAAUAUGCAUCUAAAUUAGCCCAUUAACCAUUAGACCUAAGAACAAAACUGUGGGAUUCACAGAAGGC